GACGUAGGGCGCGAGCGUUGUCCGGAUUUAUUGGGCGUAAAGAGCUCGUAGGCGGCUUGUUGCGUCGGAUGUGAAAGCUCGGGGCUUAACCCCGGGUCGGCAUUCGAUACGGGCAGGCUAGAGUGUGGCAGGGGAGACUGGAAUUCCUGGUGUAGCGGUGAAAAUGCGCAGAUAUCAGGAGGAACACCGAUGGCGAAGGCAGGUCUCUGGGCCACUACUGACGUGGAGAAAGCGAAAGCAUGGG
rnacentral:rRNA from 1 species